rnacentral:rRNA from 1 species
AAGUGGGGGACCUUCGGGCCUCACGCCAUCAGAUGUACCCAGAUGAGAUUAGCUAGUAGGUGGGGUAAUGGCUCACCUAGGCUAUGAUCUCUAGCUGGUCUGAGAGGAUGACCAGCCACACUGGAACUGAGACACGGUCUAGACUCCUACGGGAGGCAGCAGUGGGGAAUAUUGCACAAUGGGCGCAAGCCUGAUGCAGCCAUGCCGCGUGUAUGAAGAAAGCCUUCGGGUUGUAAAGUACUUUCAGCAAGAAAGAAAGUAUUUUAGUUAAUAACUAAAAUAAUUGACGUUACUUGCAAAAGAAGCACCGGCUAACUCCGUGCCAGCAGCCGCGGUAAUACGGAGGGUGCGAGCGUUAAUCGGAAUUACUGGGCUUAAAGCGUACGUAGGCGGUUAAUUAAGUUAGAUGUGAAAUCCCCGAGCUUAACUUGGGAAUUGCAUUUAAAACUGGUUAGCUAGAGUCUUGUAGAGGGGGGUAGAAUUCUAGGUGUAGCGGUGAAAUGCGUAGAUAUCUAGAGGAAUACCAGUGGCGAAGGCGGCCCCCUGGACAAAGACUGACGCUCAGGUACGAAAGCGUGGGGAGCAAACAGGAUUAGAUACCCUGGUAGUCCACGCCGUAAACGAUGUCGACUUGGAGGUUGUGCCCUUGAGGUGUGGCUUCCGGAGCUAACGCGUUAAGUCGACCGCCUGGGGAGUACGGCCGCAAGGCUAAAACUCAAAUGAAUUGACGGGGGCCCGCACAAGCGGUGGAGCAUGUGGUUUAAUUCGAUGCAACGCGAAAAACCUUACCUACUCUUGACAUUCAGAGAAUUUGCUAGAGAUAGCUUAGUGCCUUCGGGAGCUUUGAAACAGGUGCUGCAUGGCUGUCGUCAGCUCGUGUUGUGAAAUGUUGGGUUAAGUCCCGCAACGAGCGCAACCCUUGUCCUUUGUUGCCAGCACGUAAAGGUGGGAACUCAAAGGAGACUGCCGGUGAUAAGCUGGAGGAAGGUGGGGAUGACGUCAAGUCAUCAUGGCCCUUACGAGUAGGGCUACACACGUGCUACAAUGGCAUAUACAAAGAGCAGCAAACUCGCGAGAGCAAGCGAACCUCAUAAAGUAUGUCGUAAUCCGGAUUGGAGUCUGCAACUCGACUCCAUGAAGUCGGAAUCGCUAGA